UACGGGGGGGGCAAGCGUUGUUCGGAAUCACUGGGCGUAAAGGGCGUGCAGGCGGUCGAGUAAGUGGAAUGUGAAAUGCCCCGGCUCACCCGGGGACCUGCAUUCCAAACUGCUUGGCUCGAGUACGGGAGAGGAUGAGGGAAUUCCUGGUGUAGCGGUGAAAUGCGUAGAUAUCAGGAGGAACACCGGUGGCGAAAGCGCUCAUCUGGCCCGAUACUGACGCUGAAGCACGAAAGCUAGGGGAGCAAACGGG
rnacentral:rRNA from 1 species